rnacentral:rRNA from 1 species
CCUACGGGAGGCAGCAGUAGGGAAUAUUGCACAAUGGGGGAAACCCUGAUGCAGCAACGCCGCGUGGAGGAUGAAGGUUUUCGGAUUGUAAACUCCUUUUGUUAGAGAAGAUAAUGACGGUAUCUAACGAAUAAGCACCGGCUAACUCCGUGCCAGCAGCCGCGGUAAUACGGAGGGUGCAAGCGUUACUCGGAUUCACUGGGCGUAAAGAGCGCGUAGGCGGGAUCGCAAGUCAGAUGUGAAAUCCUAUGGCUUAACCAUAGAACUGCAUUGGAAACUGUUAUUCUAGAGUAUGGGAGAGGUAGGUGGAAUUCUUGGUGUAGGGGUAAAAUCCGUAGAGAUCAAGAGGAAUACUCAUGGCGAAGGCGACCUGCUAGAACAUAACUGACGCUGAUGCGCGAAAGCGUGGGGAGCGAACAGGAUUAGAUACCCCGGUAGUC